UGCCGUAACUUCGGGAGAAGGCACGCUGACACGUAGGUGAAGUGAUUUACUCAUGGAGCUGAAGUCAGUCGAAGAUACCAGCUGGCUGCAACUGUUUAUUAAAAACACAGCACUGUGCAAACACGAAAGUGGACGUAUACGGUGUGACGCCUGCCCGGUGCCGGAAGGUUAAUUGAUGGGGUCAGCGCAAGCGAAGCUCCUGAUCGAAGCCCCGGUAAACGGCGGCCGUAACUAUAACGGUCCUAAGGUAGCGAAAUUCCUUGUCGGGUAAGUUCCGACCUGCACGAAUGGCGUAAUGAUGGCCAGGCUGUCUCCACCCGAGACUCAGUGAAAUUGAACUCGCUGUGAAGAUGCAGUGUACCCGCGGCAAGACGGAAAGACCCCGUGAACCUUUACUAUAGCUUGACACUGAACAUUGAGCCUUGAUGUGUAGGAUAGGUGGGAGGCUUUGAAGUGUGGACGCCAGUCUGCAUGGAGCCGACCUUGAAAUACCACCCUUUAAUGUUUGAUGUUCUAACGUGGACCCGUAAUCCGGGUUGCGGACAGUGUCUGGUGGGUAGUUUGACUGGGGCGGUCUCCUCCUAAAGAGUAACGGAGGAGCACGAAGGUUGGCUAAUCCUGGUCGGACAUCAGGAGGUUAGUGCAAUGGCAUAAGCCAGCUUGACUGCGAGCGUGACGGCGCGAGCAGGUGCGAAAGCAGGUCAUAGUGAUCCGGUGGUUCUGAAUGGAAGGGCCAUCGCUCAACGGAUAAAAGGUACUCCGGGGAUAACAGGCUGAUACCGCCCAAGAGUUCAUAUCGACGGCGGUGUUUGGCACCUCGAUGUCGGCUCAUCACAUCCUGGGGCUGAAGUAGGUCCCAAGGGUAUGGCUGUUCGCCAUUUAAAGUGGUACGCGAGCUGGGUUUAGAACGUCGUGAGACAGUUCGGUCCCUAUCUGCCGUGGGCGCUGGAGAACUGAGGGGGGCUGCUCCUAGUACGAGAGGACCGGAGUGGACGCAUCACUGGUGUUCGGGUUGUCAUGCCAAUGGCACUGCCCGGUAGCUAAAUGCGGAAGAGAUAAGUGCUGAAAGCAUCUAAGCACGAAACUUGCCCCGAGAUGAGUUCUCCCUGAGACUUAGAGUCUCCUGAAGGAACGUUGAAGACGACGACGUUGAUAGGCCGGGUGUGUAAGCGCAGCGAUGCGUUGAGCUAACCGGUACUAAUGAACCGUGAGGCUUAACCUUACAACGCCGAAG
rnacentral:rRNA from 1 species